rnacentral:lncRNA from 1 species
UAAAAUAGAGGUCAAAACAAAAGUCAACCAAACAAACUAGGUCAAAAAUAAAUCCAAAAUAAAUUGAAAAUGAGAAAUAAAAUUCCAGGAAAAGGUCAGGUUGAUCAUGGGACAAUGGUCAACCUUCAUCCCAAAAAUCAAAAGCUAAAAAUAAUUUUAAGUCAUAAAAAUAAAAUCAAGAAAAAAAUGUGUGUUAAAAUGGACCAUUUAGAAUAAAUAAUUAAAAUAAAACAUUAAUAUUAAAUAAA